AUAAGUAUAAAACUGCAACAUCCGUCAUAUGAAAUCAAUCAUUUUGUUUGACUUUGUGUAAAGAAAGAGGAAAUCUUUGAAUAGGAGUAUUAUCAAAAAGCGAUAAAUAUGUGGCAAUGACAGAGGUUUGACAAAGCAGGUGGAAAUGGCAACCGGUGGGCUGACACCGACAGCGAAAAACCGAAUUUACCUUUUCCGGUUGCAAAUACUUAUUAUAGACGGAGGCCUCCUGGUUUUGAGAAACAUACUAGACCAGUCCCUGACUGCCAAAGGCAUAACUCUAAGUGUAUGUUUGAAUCAAGAAAUGUCGACAAUCACAAAAUUGAAAAGCCGUGGCGUUAUAACACAGGUACAAUAUGAUCAGUUGUUUCCAACAGUCGGCCAAGUUCCAACUACAUCGACUAUGGACAUAACGCUCAUUAUUUGUCUUCUAAGAUACCUGAAGUUUUUUGGAUUGAACAAGAAAUUUGACUGGAAGGCAAUGCCUUUAUCAACCGAUGUAACAGUUGAGGCAGAUAUAUGUCGGUUAAAAGCUUUCCGAAAUAGGAUAAGCCAUAUAUCAAAAACAACUAUUAUUACAAAUCCAAAUGACUUUGAAACUUGGUGGAAUGACAUAGAAUAGAUACUUGUUCGACGAAGUUCUUCAGCUCUUAAAAUUCAGCAAACCAUUAAUGAUUUCAAAAUCUGCUCUCUCGACCCAGAGGAAGAGAAAAGGGUACAAGAAGAAAUAAACAAGAGCUGUCCGUAAGACAGCGCGCUCGACUUUUUUAUUGCUUGCCAAUAAAAAAAGUUUUUGCAGUAAAAGGCAAUACAAGAAUCUCUGUAUUUUUAAAGUGAACAAUGGCCAUGAGCAUUAAGAUAUUUAGUGAAGAAUUAUUUUACUGAAUUGUGUGAUAC